GGCGUAGUUCAGUUGGUUAGAGCGUCAGAUUGUGGUUCUGAAUGUCGUGGGUUCGAGUCCCUCCUC
rnacentral:tRNA from 1 species